rnacentral:lncRNA from 1 species
CCACUAUUGUGCCCCUAAUGCACUACAUCAAUCCUCGAUUAUCAUAAAAACUAGUGUACUAAGAGGUGACGAGAGUAGUGCUGGGCGACAACACUCAGUUAUAUGGGUUCAUCCCAAGACACCCUAUGAAUUCUAUUCAAGAAAACAAAAGUCUAAUCUGGUAAGGUUUAAAAUCCUAGAACCCCCUCGUGUUUGGCACUAAACUCUACCAAAAUAUUUUGUUUGACAUAGAGGAAGAAACUACCGUCACAAUGCAUUGCGACCUAAACCAGUUCCCCCUUCUCAAUGUUCAAAAAUACCAAAACCCCCCAGGUCGACUUAGCUAGGAUUCCUUUUGGUUCCACAGAAAACACUUUGCUAGGAUUCUACGCAACCAUGCAAUCCCUGCUACGAUUUCCAACAACCACCCAAAUGAUGAAUUGCUGA